CACAGCUUGAACCAGUGAUUGAGCAUCUGAUAGGAAGACGGGGCCAACCCAGGGGAGCUCAAAUGCUUCCCCUGGGAGAGGAAGGAAGGUGGUAGAAACAGGAUCCACCCCUUCCCAGACCUCAUUUUAGGGUUGACAGUGGCGGUGAGAGUUUCUCAUCUGGAGAUGCCUGUUUAUUCUGAGGACCUUACAGGCCUUCUGAAGGAUAGGAAGCUUCUGUCAUGCACAGUGCCAGCUUACAGGCUAGCUGAUAGAUUCCUGAUACAGCUGUCAGGAUAGGUCAGAUCCCAAGGUUGGCCUGUGGAAAACCCAGCUUCUAGG
rnacentral:lncRNA from 1 species